rnacentral:rRNA from 1 species
GACGAACGCUGGCGGCGUGCUUAACACAAGCAAGUCGAACGGAAAGACCCUGCUUUUGUGGGGUGCUCGAGUGGCGAACGGGUGAGUAACACGUGAGUAACCUGCCCUUGACUUUGGGAUAACUUCAGGAAACUGGGGCUAAUACCGGAUAGGAGCUCCUGCUGCAUGGUGGGGGUUGGAAAGUUUCGGCGGUUGGGGAUGGACUCGCGGCUUAUCAGCUUGUUGGUGGGGUAGUGGCUUACCAAGGCUUUGACGGGUAGCCGGCCUGAGAGGGUGACCGGCCACAUUGGGACUGAGAUACGGCCCAGACUCCUACGGGAGGCAGCAGUGGGGAAUAUUGCACAAUGGGCGGAAGCCUGAUGCAGCAACGCCGCGUGCGGGAUGACGGCCUUCGGGUUGUAAACCGCUUUCGCCUGUGACGAGGCGUGAGUGACGGUAAUGGGUAAAGAAGCACCGGCUAACUACGUG